ensembl:lncRNA
GAAACAGCCUAUGGUGAGACUGGCACUUGUCCAUCAGCUUACAGUGUUGGAGCAGCCGGCCCGUUGCCAUAUGGUCCAUCACCUGACGGAGGACAUGCAUCUGACCCACCACCUGGUGAUGGCAAUCCAGCCGGCAGAAAAGCGGCCAGCCCUCUGCACUACUGGAGAGAAUUAGGCAGCUCAUCAGAUCAGAGCAACGUCCCAACAGCUACUGAGUGGACACCUUGCGAUGGAUGUAAGAAGGAGUUUGACAAGCUCAUCUGUCAGAAGAGGGAAGUCGAUGAGGUCGCCUCAAAAAUAGACCCGGGCCAGCUCCAAGAGAUCCAGAAUCUCCAGAAGGAACUGUUUCCUGACAGCGGCUUGUUUGUCUCUUCCUUCCGACUUGCUGCUAUGCACCAGUCAGUGUCAGAAAUCUGUUGCUUUUGGUCGCCAUGGCAAGCCCCCAGAAGGAAAGAAGCUGCUUGAAAGGAAGAAGGUGGACGGAAUUCUAACCUAUGUCCUGAGAUGUGCAACCAUGCCAGGUUGGACAAAAAUUGAUGACAGCAAACUGAAGA